rnacentral:tRNA from 1 species
GAGGGUAUAGCUCAAGUGGUAGAGCACAUGCUUAGCAUGCAUGAAGUCCUGGGUUCAAUCCUCCGUACCUCCU